rnacentral:rRNA from 1 species
AGUGAACGCUGGCGGCAGGCCUAAUACAUGCAAGUCGAACGGCAGCACAGCAGAGCUUGCUCUGUGGGUGGCGAGUGGCGGACGGGUGAGGAAUACGUGGGAAUCUGCCCAGUCGUGGGGGAUAACGUAGGGAAACUUACGCUAAUACCGCAUGCGCCCUUCGGGGAAAGCCGGGGACCUUCGGGCCUGGCGCGAUUGGAUGAGCCCACGUCGGAUUAGCUAGUUGGCGGGGUAAAGGCCCACCAAGGCGACGAUCCGUAGCUGGUCUGAGAGGAUGAUCAGCCACACUGGAACUGAGACACGGUCCAGACUCCUACGGGAGGCAGCAGUAGGGAAUAUUGGACAAUGGGCGCAAGCCUGAUCCAGCCAUGCCGCGUGAGUGAAGAAGGCCCUCGGGUUGUAAAGCUCUUUUGUCCGGAAAGAAAGCGCCGGGUUAAUACCCUGGUGUCCUGACGGUACCGGAAGAAUAAGCACCGGCUAACUUCGUGCCAGCAGCCGCGGU